rnacentral:rRNA from 1 species
GAUGAACGCUGGCGGCGUGCCUAACACAUGCAAGUCGAGCGAACAGACGAGGAGCUUGCUCCUCUGACGUUAGCGGCGGACGGGUGAGUAACACGUGGAUAACCUACCUAUAAGACUGGGAUAACUUCGGGAAACCGGAGCUAAUACCGGAUAAUAUAUUGAACCGCAUGGUUCAAUAGUUAAAGACGGUUUUGCUGUCACUUAUAGAUGGAUCCGCGCCGCAUUAGCUAGUUGGUAAGGUAACGGCUUACCAAGGCGACGAGGCGUAGCCGACCUGAGAGGGUGAUAGGCCACACUGGAAGUGAGACACGGUCCAGACUCCUACGGGAGGCAGCAGUAGGGAAUCUUACGCAAUGGGCGAAAGCUUGACGGAGCAACGCCGCGUGAGUGAUGAAGGUCUUCGGAUCGUAAAACUCUGUUAUUAGGGAAGAACAAAUGUGUAAGUAACUAUGCACGUCUUGACGGUACCUAAUCAGAAAGCCACGGCUAACUACGUG